CACAAGCGGUGGAGCAUUGUGGUUUAAUUCGACGCGAACGCGAAAACCUUACCUGGGCUUGACAUGCCGGGAAUCCGAUGGAACAUUGGAGUGCCCCGCAAGGGGAACCCGGACACAGGUGCUGCAUGGCUGUCGUCAGCUCGUGCCGUGAGGUGUUGGGUUAAGUCCCGCAACGAGCGCAACCCUCAUCCUUAGUUGCCAGCAUUUAAGGUGGGCACUCUAAGGAAACUGCCGCAGUUAAUGCGGAGGAAGGUGGGGAUGACGUCAAGUCCUCAUGGCCCUUAUGUCCAGGGCUACACACGUGCUACAAUGGGUGGAACAAAGGGUUGUGAACCCGUAAGGGGGGAACUAAUCCCAGAAACCCGAUCGUAGUCCGGAUUGCAGUCUGCAACUCGACUGCAUGAAGUCGGAAUCGCUAGUAAUCGCGGAUCAGCAUGUCGCGGUGAAUACGUUCCCGGGUCUU
rnacentral:rRNA from 1 species